rnacentral:ribozyme from 11 species
AAUGCUUCUUGAAAUUCCGUUUUCUUCUUUCCUUCCUCUUUUCCGUUUCCUUUCAUCCCAUGCCUUUGGAUAUUGAU